rfam:Parcubacteria bacterium GW2011_GWA2_44_13 TW28_C0018, whole genome shotgun sequence.
GCUCCUAUCGUCUAGCCUGGCCUAGGACACCGGCUUUUCAAGCCGAGAACCCGGGUUCGAAUCCCGGUGGGAGCA